UACGUAGGGGGCAAGCGUUGUCCGGAAUCAUUGGGCGUAAAGCGCGUGUAGGCGGUUCGGUAAGUCUGCUGUGAAAGUCCAGGGCUCAACCCUGGGAUGCCGGUGGAUACUGUCGGACUAGAGUACGGAAGAGGCGAGUGGAAUUCCCGGUGUAGCGGUGAAAUGCGCAGAUAUCGGGAGGAACACCUGUGGCGAAGGCGGCCAACUGGGCCGACCCUGACGCUGAGGCGCGAAGGCGUGGGGAGCGAACGGG
rnacentral:rRNA from 1 species